GGAGGUAGUGACAAUAAAUCACAAUGCGGAACUUCUGUUUUGCAAUUGGAUUGAGAACAACGCACAACACUUAUCGACAAACAAUUGGAGGGCAAGUCUGGUGCCAGCAGCCGCGGUAAUUCCAGCUCCAAUAGCGUAUAUUAACGUUGUUGCAGUUAAAAAGCUCGUAGCUAAAGUGAAGUGUGAAUCUCUUGGAUUUUCGUUUGAAUUUCCUUUAGCUUCAUACUCUUUCCAAAUAGUUUGCAUGGGUAUUUACUUAUCUGUGUAUUGCAUUUGGUCAUUUACUGUGAGAAAAUUAGAGUGUUCAAAGCAUACGUUUGUUUGAAUACAUUAGCAUGGAAUAAUUCGAAAAGGCUUUCAUGUUCGAUUUGAUUGGUUUGUUCGUGAAGGCAAGAUUAAAAGGGACAGUUGGGGGUAUUCAUAUUCAAUAGUCAGAGGUGAAAUUCUCGGAUUUAUGGAAGAUGAACAAGUGCGAAAGCA
rnacentral:rRNA from 1 species